rnacentral:rRNA from 1 species
GAUGAACGCUGGCGGCGUGCCUAAUACAUGCAAGUCGAGCGAACAGACGAGGAGCUUGCUCCUCUGACGUUAGCGGCGGACGGGUGAGUAACACGUGGAUAACCUACCUAUAAGACUGGGAUAACUUCGUGAAACCGGAGCUAAUACCGGAUAAUAUAUUGAACCGCAUGGUUCAAUAGUGAAAGACGGUUUUGCUGUCUCUUAUAGAUGGAUCCGCGCCGCAUUAGCUAGUUGGUAAGGUAACGGCUUACCAAGGCGACGAUGCGUAGCCGACCUGAGAGGGUGAUCGGCCACACUGGAACUGAGACACGGUCCAGACUCCUACGGGAGGCAGCAGUAGGGAAUCUUCCGCAAUGGGCGAAAGCCUGACGGAGCAACGCCGCGUGAGUGAUGAAGGUCUUCGGAUCGUAAAACUCUGUUAUUAGGGAAGAACAAAUGUGUAAGUAACUAUGCACGUCUUGACGGUACCUAAUCAGAAAGCCACGGCUAACUACGUG